UCCUGUGUUUAAGAAAGAAAAGGAAGGAGAAACCAUGUUCAAGAUGGUCCACAUGGGUUAAUUCACUGUAUGCCAUCCUUGAUGGGGAGAAUACAAACUCACGCUAAAUGAGAGUAUAGAUCUAGAAAUCUAGAAGAGCGCUGCUAAUUCCAUUCACUCAUCUAUUUACUAAAAGCAACAGUACCUAUAGCUACCAUUCUAAUCACAAUUUGAAUCAUUAAAGAGGACUACCUACUACCUAUAAAAGUAUCAAGGGAGUAUAUGCUAAACAUGCCACACCACUGACCUAGACCCUCACGUAAAAAUUUUCCUAAAACACUCUCUAGAACAAUGGUUGUUCUGGAGAGACUGAAGACAUCAAAUUUAAGACAUAGGGAAAUCUUACAAAGAGAGGCCAAGAUUUCAUUUUAAUUAGCAUUAUUAUUCAGAGGUAAUGUCUCACUCUGUAGCCCAAGCAGUUCUCCACUCACAAAGUUCUGGGAUUAAGGUACGUGUCACUAUGCUUGACACUGGAGCUAUCUCUCCAGCCCUAAGCCAGUUUUUUUUUCUGAUACAUAACUAUAGUUUUUGGAAUAUCAACUUUGGUGGAAAGUUGAAGUUCGUUUCCAUUUAACAUACCACUUAUGAUUUGCUCAUCAGUUAAGAGAAGCUGCUGUUCUUCCAGAGGACUCAUAUUCAAUUCCCAGCGUCUACAUGGUGGCUCACAACUGUCUGUAACUCUAGUUCAGGGGAUCUGAUGCCCCUCUUCUGGCCUCUGUGGGCACUUGGAUGUAUGUGAGAACAAGCCUGGACUGACACUGCUUGGCACCAAAAGAGAUCAGCCAUGUGCAGAGUGAUGGUCAUAGGCCUGAAUGCAGAUAUUCUGACCAGAACACAGCAACAACAGGAUUUCAUAUUGAGCCUAAGAUGGCCUUGAACAUACAGCAAUCCUACUGUCCCAGCUUCCCAAAGUGUGUGCCACAAUGACGUGGUUUUAGAUAUUGGAUACUGUAUGAAGCAUUCAAAGUAUAACACUGGAAAAAAACACUAUGCAAAAGUUUGUUAACCCAAAGCACUGCUUGGGAGGCCCACAGCCUGAAUGCUGCUGUUUUCUGUAAUGACCAAAUAAGCACCAAGCAUUUCCUGAAAGGAACCCUGUGACUGGCGCAUGACUUACACCACAAAGACCCAUCCCUGACCCACUGUUCUGUGGCGCCCGCCCGCCCUUCACAAGCAAGAACAUGACAGCAGACAGCAGGGAAGGGAAGUGCCUAAGGAGAACCAAAACUGCCCCAAACUGCCCAAUGCCAAAGUUCUGGACAGCAGCUAGUGGCUUCACCCCCACUUUGUCAGUCGGCCAAGAGGGAAAGCCACAAAAACAGUCUUGAGGAGGAAAUCAAAGUGGGGAAGUCAGCGCAGCAUUCCAACAGGUAUUUUCUUAGACUGGAAAAAGAUGCCCAAGGGUAACGCAAGUACAGGGUUGAGCCUUGCAACAUGUGGGACAAAUAAGUUUUGUUUGUUCCAAAUUCUGCUACAGACUUAGCUUACACAAAAGACAGUAAGGAAAUGUUGGACAAUUCAUGUUACACCGCCAUCUGGCCUAACAAAGUUAUAUUCAAAAUGUGUAAUAAUCGUUUGCCAUCUGGGUAAUCCAUCACAGGUUUCAUGGAAUCUUCAGCUGGACACCAAAUACAUGCCAUUUUGAAAUAAACAUCUCUGUACAUGGACGGAGACCCUGAACACUGGAGCCAUACUACAUGUUGAGCCAAUUUUAGUUCUUUGAACAAACACUUAUUAUGCUUAGAUGAUUUUAAAAGAGAAAAGAUAUUAAGCAAAGAUGAUAUUCUCAUUCUAAAUAAAAGCUAUCUUAAAAUAAGAUUUUUGUUACAUUUUAUGUGCCACAGAGUAUGAACAGAAGUCUGAGGACAGCUUCCAGGAGUGGCUUCUCGCUCUCUACCAUGUGGGUACCAAGGACUGAACUAAGGUCAUCAUGCUUGGGGGCAGCUGCCUUUAUCCUGGAUGCCAUCUUUCCAGCCCCACAAGAACAGUAUCUUAAUAAACUGUCCAAAAUAA